rnacentral:rRNA from 1 species
UCCGGGGGGUGCAAUCGUUAAUCGGAAUCACUGGGCGUAAAGGGUGUGUAGGCGGUGCAUUAGGUCUGUCGUGAAAUCCCCGGGCUCAACCUGGGAAUGGCGGUGGAAACCGGUGUACUAGAGUAUGGGAGAGGGUGGUGGAAUUCCAGGUGUAGCGGUGAAAUGCGUAGAGAUCUGGAGGAACAUCAGUGGCGAAGGCGGCCACCUGGCCCAAUACUGACGCUGAGGCACGAAAGCGUGGGGAGCAAACAGG